UUUAUGGAGAGUUUGAUCCUGGCUCAGGAUGAACGCUGGCGGCGUGCCUAAUACAUGCAAGUCGAGCGAACGGACGAGAAGCUUGCUUCUCUGAUGUUAGCGGCGGACGGGUGAGUAACACGUGGAUAACCUACCUAUAAGACUGGGAUAACUUCGGGAAACCGUAGCUAAUACCGGAUAAUAUUUUGAACCGCAUGGUUCAAAAGUGAAAGACGGUCUUGCUGUCACUUAUAGAUGGAUCCGCGCUGCAUUAGCUAGUUGGUAAGGUAACGGCUUACCAAGGCAACGAUGCAUAGCCGACCUGAGAGGGUGAUCGGCCACACUGGAACUGAGACACGGUCCAGACUCCUACGGGAGGCAGCAGUAGGGAAUCUUCCGCAAUGGGCGAAAGCCUGACGGAGCAACGCCGCGUGAGUGAUGAAGGUCUUCGGAUCGUAAAACUCUGUUAUUAGGGAAGAACAUAUGUGUAAGUAACUGUGCACAUCUUGACGGUACCUAAUCAGAAAGCCACGGCUAACUACGUGCCAGCAGCCGCGGUAAUACGUAGGUGGCAAGCGUUAUCCGGAAUUAUUGGGCGUAAAGCGCGCGUAGGCGGUUUUUUAAGUCUGAUGUGAAAGCCCACGGCUCAACCGUGGAGGGUCAUUGGAAACUGGAAAACUUGAGUGCAGAAGAGGAAAGUGGAAUUCCAUGUGUAGCGGUGAAAUGCGCAGAGAUAUGGAGGAACACCAGUGGCGAAGGCGACUUUCUGGUCUGUAACUGACGCUGAUGUGCGAAAGCGUGGGGAUCAAACAGGAUUAGAUACCCUGGUAGUCCACGCCGUAAACGAUGAGUGCUAAGUGUUAGGGGGUUUCCGCCCCUUAGUGCUGCAGCUAACGCAUUAAGCACUCCGCCUGGGGAGUACGACCGCAAGGUUGAAACUCAAAGGAAUUGACGGGGACCCGCACAAGCGGUGGAGCAUGUGGUUUAAUUCGAAGCAACGCGAAGAACCUUACCAAAUCUUGACAUCCUUUGACAACUCUAGAGAUAGAGCCUUCCCCUUCGGGGGACAAAGUGACAGGUGGUGCAUGGUUGUCGUCAGCUCGUGUCGUGAGAUGUUGGGUUAAGUCCCGCAACGAGCGCAACCCUUAAGCUUAGUUGCCAUCAUUAAGCUGGGCACUCUAAGUUGACUGCCGGUGACAAACCGGAGGAAGGUGGGGAUGACGUCAAAUCAUCAUGCCCCUUAUGAUUUGGGCUACACACGUGCUACAAUGGACAAUACAAAGGGCAGCGAAACCGCGAGGUCAAGCAAAUCCCAUAAAGUUGUUCUCAGUUCGGAUUGUAGUCUGCAACUCGACUACAUGAAGCUGGAAUCGCUAGUAAUCGUAGAUCAGCAUGCUACGGUGAAUACGUUCCCGGGUCUUGUACACACCGCCCGUCACACCACGAGAGUUUGUAACACCCGAAGCCGGUGGAGUAACCUUUUAGGAGCUAGCCGUCGAAGGUGGGACAAAUGAUUGGGGUGAAGUCGUAACAAGGUAGCCGUAUCGGAAGGUGCGGCUGGAUCACCUCCUUU
rnacentral:rRNA from 1 species